rfam:Hordeum vulgare subsp. vulgare, WGS project CAJW01000000 data, contig: morex_contig_47666
UACGUACUCCCUCCGUCCCAAAAUUCUUCUCUUAAAUUUGUUAGAUAUGUCACGUUUUAGUAUUUAGAUACAUCUAUAUUUCUAUACGAACCUAAGACAAGAAUUUUGCGACGGAGGGAGUACAUG